rnacentral:lncRNA from 1 species
CUAAACACUAUCGAACUUUGUAUUCUGAAAGUAAUCAGAUAUAAUUGUCAGAAAUAGAAAAUGUCGCAAAUGUUUAUUUGCCAAAAGUGACGUACCUACAGAUAGAGGUAGUCAAUGUACAGUAGGACAGAGAGCUUACAGGAAGAGUCCACGAACGUAUUUUGAAAACCAAUGCAAAUUACCCAACAAAACCAAAAAUGAAAAUUAGAGUAAAUUAUAUAUACAGAGAGUCAUUUACGCAAUUAAAUAUUGGGAAAAAAAACAUAGCAUGUAAAUCCUGAGCCUAAUACUCACAUAUAGAAAUUACCUUACAAUUCGUGUCAUAUGACAAAUUAAGAGUUAACAUAGACAGAGUUAUUCAAAAAUGAAAAUUAGAGUAAAUUAUAUAUACAGAAAGUCAUUUACGCAAUUAAAUAUUGGGAAAAAAAACAUAGCAUGUAAAUCCUGAGCUUAAUACUCACAUAUAUGAAUUACCUUACAAUUCGUGUCAUAUGAUAAAUUAGGAGUUAACAUAGACAGAGUUAUUCAAUAAACUGGGAAACCUAGAUAGAAUUAUUCUCUAAAGUGAAAAUUCGAAGGGAAUUUCAAAUGUAAAGCCAAAAUGCUUUCAGUUUGACAAUUUUGGCCGUAACGGGUUACUCCAAGCACCAAGACCACUUAAGUGAUUUGAAGUGGUCAUGGUGCCUAGAGUCUAAUUAAACCCUUUGCUGCAGGAGGUGUUACUGGCUAAUGUCAAUUCUGUGCAAAUUUCUACGUACAGAAUUGCUGACGCUCUCAGCCAAUGAAUGGCCGGUAGGAUCGGCAUCCGGAUUCUGCAGCUGCAGGUCACAGCUAAUGGGAGAGGACUCCUAGUGUCUGGAAAGAUCAGGUGGGAGCACAAACUGUUGCAAACCGUUGUUUUUAUUACCAGGAAACAGUACACUUGGCUGUAGUGGUUAAGGUACUUGGAGUAAUCCUUUAAAUUAAUAUUCACUUUGAUACUGACAUGGGAAAUGCAAAUAACAGGCCAAAAUGUUUGAAAUUGAAUCAUUUUCUGGUUAUUUUUUUUAAAUCUAUUUUAAUAUUAAUGGGAAAUCCCCUCUUCAUUUCCAAGAUAGUAAAAUAAUUUGCGUGUCUUUUAAGAUUCAAAUAAGAUUAUUCAUUCACAUGGUAUAUCUGCUUUUAUUUUAAAUAGUAAGACCUGUAUAAAUGAUCAUAUGAACCCUUUUUAAUGUGAAGGAUGGUCAAUUAAAGUGCUAGUCUUCAUAGCAGACAAAGAAAAUAUGCAUGAAACAGUUACUUUUAUCCUUUGUUUAGGAGCAUUCUAGAGAAGAUUUAAACAUAAUGGAGCUUGCUUUAAUGACUUACUAUGACAAAUACUUUGCUUGUCAAAAGCCCUGGAUAUAAUGCAGAACUAAGAAAGUUAAUUAAAAUGUCAGAUGUUUUUAAAGGUUUGUCUCACUGCUAGGAUUUUACUUCUAGCCAUGUUAUUAUAGGGUAUGAACUAAAAGGAUUAGAAAUAUUUUAACUAAUUUCAUAGUUUAAAUUAUUACUUUUUUUAUUGACAUAAAUAUAUACUUUAGGGUCUGUUACAUGUGCAGUUAUUUUGUCUGCCAAUCUGUUCUCAAGCAGAAAUAUUCUGAAUAUUUCGAUGCAUGUGAAAUUUAUUUACUCAACUUGGAUUUCUGACAAAUUAACAAGAGAAUUUCAAAUUGUCGGCCUGUAUAGCUAACUAAGGAACAUUUUGUUGCUAUUUCAAUCCAAAAUGUAAAAUUUCUAUAUCAAUUCUCAACAAUUUUAGAAUUGUACCUGGGAACUACUAAUAUUUUAAUGAAAACAGUUGAAAUGAAUGGUUUAUUUUAAGGUUUACAUUUCAUAAAUUGUUCAUUUCUGUGGUUGCACAUAUCAAGAAUUACAUUUUUAUGCAUUGUAAUAAUUUUGAGCCAUAGAUAAUCAAUGUUCUAAAUUAACAAUAAGAUCAUUUUAGAGUAUCAAAACACACUUGAUUUAUGGUCGUCUGCAUCUAAAAAUUGUCGUAGAGUUCUCAUAUCUUCAUGAAGUCUAUCUGGUUUGUAACUGUUUGCUUAUCAUAUGCCCAUGAUAAACCUCUCCAUUUCGCCUAAUGCAAUAAAAUAUUUUCAUACUUGCAUGUUUUUGUUUUUUUGCCAGAAACAAAAAUUCUUUAGGAUUAAAAAAAAAAUCAUCUAUAUAUAAGUAAAUAUAUACAUAUGCUUAUAAUAUAGGAGCGAUAUUGAUGCAUAUAUGUAAAAUAGUGGUUUUAUUUUUUUUAAAUCUUAACAAAAAUGCAGCAUCAUGCACAAGAAAAAAAUGGUAUUUUGCCUGCACUUAGAAAUCCGAGCAAUGCUUAACCCUUUUCGCAACGAGGGGUACCGUGUGAUAAAUUAAAAUGCCUUGCCAAUUUUUCAGCACAGACGGGUAAUAGAACACUCUGAAUGUCCAAUUUAAAUACGCAAAAUAGAACUCACUUAGAGUGCACUUUGGGUUAUAUACCACAGAACUGGUUCUCCUGCAGAGAUACUUUGUACAUAACAGAUGUAUUUAAUUUCCUUGUAUUUUGUAACUUACUUGUACACUGAAAAAAUACAGAAUAAAAAGCUCUUCUUUUUUUUUUUU